AGAGCAAAACUCUCUCAAAUAAUAAUAAUAACAAUAAUAAAUAAAAAAAUUCUUCCAGGUAGAGGAGGAAGGAGACUUGUAGCUUUGUAGGCCUGGGUUCAAAUCUUGCUUCUAUCACUUCGUGUCCAUGGGGUCUUGGGCAAGUCAUUUAACUCAUCUGAGUCUCAGUUUCCUUACCUGAAUAGUGGAGGCAGCAGUGAUGCCAUAGUGAGGAUUUGAUGAGCCAGUAAAGGAAGAUCUGAUGCCUGCUGAAUGCUUAUAACAGUUACCUUUGUGAUCAUCAAUGCUCUUUCAUGUAAAAUGAGAAUAAAAAUAGAGACCUCACAAAAACUGUCCUCCUGGCUCUAGGCCAUCUGUGAAUAGGGGAAAUUCAAUUCUUGUUCUUGGGCCAGUCACUCGGCAAGAAUCUGCAGACACAGAGAUGAAUGCAACAGCGCGGUCAGCCCUUGGAUCUCCACAUCUAGUGGACAGGGGAGGCAUAGCGAGGCUGAGGGAGGUGGUAGGGGGCAGAGCAUUAAUUCCCGUGGAAUGGUCAUCAGUGCACUCAUGGCAUUCUUGAUGGGGGUCUCUGGACCAUGCCAAGGGGUCUUCUUUGGUCCAUUCUUAGCCAACAUAUUUAUCAUGGACUUAGUUAAAGUCUGACAAAGUCUUGCUGACUUUGUUGGAAAAGACCAAAGAUGGGAAAAACCCAGUUUCAUAAGACCUCAUGUGAAAGAGACACGGCUAUGACUUUUAGCCGGCUCCCAAUAUUACCUACAUUUUUUCAGUAUUAUGUUAAGAGCUUUUCAUGUAUCGUUCCAUUUAAUCAUUCCAGUAGCUUUAUGAGGUAGGUGCCUGUAUUGUCUUCACUUUAUGGGUAGACACUGAGACUCAGAGAAACCAAAUGGUUUGCCCAGGGCCACAUGCUGUGUUCCAGCUGCCAAAAUGCUAAUGCAACCCCCGACUGCAUGAAUAGAAGAAAGUGUCCUGAGCAUGGGAUGAGACACGUUGUGUUCUGCACUGCCCAGAUCACCCUCAGGGGUGGCUCUCAUUUAAUUCAGAGGUACUGGAGACCUUCCAGUGGAGGGAAAGAGUGAGACCUUGGAGACAUAGGACCUCACAGUCAUGUUCUGUGAGGGAACACGCGCCUGAUGUGGGAGAGAGAAAGCUGACAUCAGGACCACUCCUUCAUAUUUCCAAGAGGCUGCUGUGGGGCAAAGAGAGCUCCAUGUUUCCUGUGAGCAUGGUCCUGUGUUAGCCAUUUAGAGCUGUUUGAAAAUCUAUCUGGUUCCCUUGUGAUGUAGUGAGCCUCCUGUCACUAGAGGUGUUCAAACAGGUUAGAAGUGCCAUUGAAGGCAGGCCUGUAGUGGAUGGGCUGCUGGACAUGUGUAACGCCUCUAGCACAAUGCCUGGCAUAGGGUAGGUGCGUGCAUCAGGGAACCCUUAAGGUUUAGGAGUAAACCUGGCUUCUCUUAAAAAUCAUUUUUUUUUUUUUUUUACAUCCAGGCAGCUCCUUAUAUACUUAGGAGGUAAGAAUCAUUUUAAUGAUGACCAAACAUAUUACAUACACAAUUUCAUUAGAAUUUUGUAACAAUGCUAUUAAUUGUGCCUACCUUAUGGGGUUAUUAUAGUUGAGGAAACUAUAGCACAGAGAGAUUGAGCAACUUGCCCAAGGCCACACAGUAAUUGGCAGAUCUGGGAUUUGAAUCCAGGCCUCUGGCUUUCCCUACGGUUGUCCUUGCCCAUGGAUCUUCCAGGGGCAAGUUUGACCCUCGAAGUCUCUGGCCAACGUUUAUGAUAAUGGAAGGUGUUCCAAGUUUCUUCUCAUGGCUCUGCCUCUGGGAUCUUUGGAUUUACUAGCUGGAAAAGUGAGGACACGUGAUAGAAUCCCUCAACCAGUGGUUGGCUGGUGGACCCACCCCAAGCAGGACAUAAUUUUGAUUCACCCAAUGUGCCUGUGUAGGGAAUGCAGCCAUAAACAAAAUGGAAGAGAUGCCUGUCUGCCUGAAGCUUAUUUUCUUGUUGAAGAGACAGCAGGGAAGAGGCAACUGCAGUGUGGGCUGGUGGGGCUGUGAGUAGAGCAGAUAUCAGGGCCCCACUUAUCUCCCUUUGGACCUCACUGUUGUAGUCCUGACUUACCCUUGACCACUUAGUCCCUGCCCAGGGCCUUUCUCUCCCUGCCCAAGUCCACUGUGCCUACACUUAAGGCAAGCUGGAAAAUGGACGUCCAUUGGGAAUAGCUCCAACCAAUGAUUGAUGGGACUGGUGGAUUAAUACCAUGGCUCCUUCCCUCUAGGCUGAGGUAACUCGGAGCUGUGUGUUCUACACUGAACUCUUAGCUGAAGUUGCCCAUGGUGGGAACUUGCCUGAUAAUAUCCUUUAUUGGCUGCCUUCCUGUCCCUGCCUCAUUUCUCAUUUCCCUGCCAGCAGAUGCUGCGAUCGCCUUCUACAUACACUACCUUCAAUCUUCAUUGUAGACUUGGCUUCUGGAGGGACCCAAAUGACCGUGGCAUAGGACAAAACUCAGGGGCUCUGUGAGCCUAGAAGAGGAGGCGCUGAGCCCGGCCAGGACAGAGGUCCACAGAUGAUCCCCGAAGGAAAAGAAGUCUAAAUGGAGACCUCAAGGAGCGCUUCUCUUUAUUUGUCUAAUUUCCUUAGGAUAAAUUCCCAGAAGGAGAAUCAGUGGGUCUCAGGGUCUCUCAUCUCCUCGAAGUUCCCAACUUUGAAGAUGUGAGUAACCUGCUGGAGAAAUGAUGGCUAUUGUCACAUUGCUGCACACACUCAUGGCCCAGGAGUUGAGGAGGCUGGAGGAGGAGGCCUGGCAGGAAGUGGAGGAGCCACAGUCUGGGUGCCGCCCCACGUCAACCAGCAAUACCCACUGGGGCAGAGAGGCCCAAAGUUACACAACUGGUGAGUGAUGGCUCUUCCAUCCGACCGCAAGUGCAUGGUUCCACUGUCCACUGUGCCCUCAGCAGGAGUGGAGACAUUCAUGGACUUGUGUCAUUGAGAAGCAGUCUAAGGAGGACGAGGCCCACGUAUCCAUGUCUCCAUAGAUUCUGCUCCCCCUUCUCCCACGACUUCCAGAGCAUGUUCUGUUCACAGUAUAUUUUUAGCUCUAGGAAUCUGGCUUGGGGUUGUGGCUGGGCUAAUAUACUUCUAAGUGGCAAGGCCCGAGAUUUGGAGAUGAGGAGAGGACUUGUCACGUGUGGCAGUGGCAGUGGUUCAACACUAAGUGAUCUGUGACCCCUUUGCAUGCCUGGGAAGAAAGUGGCUUACUAAGAAGAAGCCCAUCCAAGGACUAAAUUUCCCAGGUCCUCUUGCAAAGGUGGGGCCUAUGACAUGUGAGUGGAAGUAAUGUGCAUCACUUUCUGGCCAGGGAGCUUAAGAAGAACAUGGAGCUUCUUCGUUUGUUUGCUCUCCCGCCAGUGGGAUGUCAACCAUCAAUGUAAUCUUGGAAACCACGUGUUGAUUAUGGCAGAACCUUCGUCAGCAUGGGUCAUUGACCUAACCCAGUGGUUCUCAAAGUGUGGUCCCUGGACCACCAGCAUCAGCAUUGUCUGGGAACGGGUUAGAGAUGAAAAAUCUCAGACACCACCCUAGAUCUACUUAAUCUGAAAACUCUGGGGUGGGGCCCAGUCAUCUGUGGUUUAAAAAACUUCCAGGGGAAUCUAACACAUGCUCAAGCUUGAAACCCCCUGCUUCUCUUAGUUACCAUUCCAUUCAUAGCUCCUGAGUCGACAGCCAGGCUCAGGACUGCUCAGGAGGUUUCAUGCUUACCCCCGUGGCCAUCCUCACCCUCCACCCUACCCUUGCCUCUCAGGGGGUUUCAUGAAGAAGACAGCAGUGGCACAUGCUCUAUAUAAUUCUUAACAUGGAGGAAGCAGAGGAAAAUGGCAUUCUCAUGAAAUAAUUCAUUAAUUCCUUCCUCAUUUUUUCAUUCUCUGAAGAGUCAUAGAGAAGCGUUAGGUUGACUGGAAAACUUCUCUGGAGGAGUUACAAAAUACAGUUUGGAUCAACAGCCCUAUAGGUAGGUUUUAUUAUCACCACAGUUUUAUAGAUGCAAAACUUGAGGUUCAGGGAGUGUGGGUGAGAGGUGGGGCCAGGAUUCAAGCCUGGUUCUCUCUGCCUCCAUCUUCCACAUUUUUUUGGCACUCUCAUGGCUUCCACGUCUGCAUUGCCAGGUGGUUGGUCUUUUGCAAACAGAACUCACCAAUUGCAACCUCUUUGCACCUAAGGAAGAAUCACAUCGGGCAUCCAGAUCAUUUGAGAAAAAUCUGCUUGUCACCUUUCCCCAGAUACGUUACACAGGGGCAUAUAUUUGCAUUAUGCCUGUGACUAUGAGUUCAAUACAUCCUGAAAGAGUGAAUUAAUGAGUUAAUUAGCAACUGGGUAGCUAGCUUGAACACCUCAUCUAACUUUCCUUAUCUAGAAACUUCUUGUAUUUUUCCAGGUUGAGAAAAAGUUUUCUGCAAAGAAGCUGGCACCCAGCUGUAAUUGCUGCAAUUGCUUGUGGAGGGCAAACAAAUAGACAUAGUCCUCGUGGAACAUGAAUGACAUGGUACAGGUUAGGGCAGUGGUUCUCAAACUUGAACAUGUGUUCAAGAAUCACCUGUAGAACUCCAGAACACAGAUUUCUGUGACCCACCCCAGAGUUUAAGAUUUGGUAGUUCUGGGACAGACCCCAAAAUUUGCAUUUCUAACAAUUUCUUAGAUGAAGCUGAUGCUGCUUGUCUGGGAAUCACACUUUGAGAACCAUUGGAUUAGGGUAAUACCAGAUCCUGCAACAAAACAGCAAUGGCUUGACGCUGUGAACAUGUAUUUCCCACUUCCUUAUAGGGGAAUGACUGAAUACGGUGUGAUAUGACAUAGGAUAUAGCUGUGAAAUGAAUCAAAUAUAAGUGGAUUGAUCUGAAGUGAUAGCUGUGGUCUGAUGACUGAGAUAAGCAACUUGCUAAGAAAUUUAUAUAGCAUAAUCUCAUUUUUGUAAAACAAAACAAAAAAUUAAACCAAAGCCAAAAUAAAACAACCUACUUCUCCAAA